rnacentral:lncRNA from 1 species
UCAAAGAAGAGGGAGCUAACAUCCCUUAGCUUUAUAAGUCCCACAGGUAAGCACCUUGGAGAAGUUCUUCAACCAAAACCAGUUCCUGUAAGGCUUUCUAGCCCUUGACAGGAAAUAAGCUGAUUCCUGCAGGCUGCAACAUGAAGACUUCCAGACUGAAGUGAGCAUCCUGCUAUAGGAAGGAUUUGGGAGUAGUGAGUCAUCAUUUGUAUGGGAAAUUAAUCUGUGAUUUUUAUUUAUUGUUUUUUUUCAUUUGAAGUAACAUCACAUCAUCAUAGAGAGACAUUGUCUGUCAUUUCUGGUGUGGAUACCUGAAUAACUCAGCUAGACAGGGAGCUUGAUAAGAAAAAUGAAUAUGUAGACAUCUGCCUGGACUAAUCAAGUAAUCACUGCUCUUUGUGACCUUCAAUGCCGUUCUUCACUCAAAAACCUCAAAGCACAAAGAAUUUUUCUGAGGCAGAAAGCCACGCACAGUGGAGCUGUUUGUGCAUUGAGGGCAAUCUCCUUUGGCUUUCUUGAGCUCAAGUUCUUCAAGCAAGUAUUAGUGUGAACAGCAGCAGCUUAAAGCACUCCCUAAUCUUAAAGAGACCAUAAGUAACACACUGCUUGAACAAGGUGGGUUUGGACCAGAUUUAACAACGUGAUUUGCUUUUUCCUGUGUUUUAGUUUAAAUUUUGCUUAAAACGGAGUUGUUUUAGCACUGGAAUAGUUUAGAUUAUUCAGCAUUUAUAUAUACGAGAAAAAGGGUUCUAGAGUUUUGUUCUUAGUGUUCAUUGUAAUGUGAGUUAUGUAGCUAAACCCAUAGAAAUUCUGUGAAAUUUUAAAUUCUGAGGGGUCAAGGAUUUGGUUUUGGGUUGGUUCUGUUAUUCCUGUGCAGAUUGGAAUGAUUUGUUCAAACUCUGUGCAUGUUACGUGACAUCUGUAGUAAGUGAAUCCCAGAAGAUUUUAAGAUUUAUUUUGAGUUUGUUUCAAUCUUGAAUGUAAUUCUAAAAUUAUUUUUAUCUAGUCACUGUAGAUUGAAGCAUCUUUGAGAUUAAUUACAUUAUAUCUUGGGGAUUAGAAGAAAUGGGGAAAAUAUGUGAGAAAUGAGGAGAGCAAAUUAUUGUCUUUCAAUGAAGUAAGUACCAACUCAGAUCAUGUCAUACAUUAUGAAUAAUCUCAUUUUUGCUGGAAUCCUGUACUAUAUUAAAGACAUUAUGGCAG